rnacentral:rRNA from 1 species
GUAGUUAGCCGUGGCUUCCUCCUUAGGUACCGUCAUUAUCGUCCCUAAAGACAGAGCUUUACAUACCGAAAUACUUCAUCACUCACGCGGCGUUGCUGGGUCAGGCUUGCGCCCAUUGCCCAAUAUUCCCCACUGCUGCCUCCCGUAGGAGUCUGGACCGUGUCUCAGUUCCAGUGUGGCCGAUCAGCCUCUCAGCUCGGCUACCCAUCGUCGGCUUGGUGGGCUGUUAUCUCACCAACUACCUAAUGGGACGCGAACCCCUCUAAAAGCGAUAAAUCUUUGACCUCUUCCCGAUGCCGGGUUGUGGUCUUAUGCGGUAUUAGCAGUUGUUUCCACCUGUUAUUCCCCACUCUUAGGCAGGUUGUUCACGCGUUACUCACCCGUGCGCCACUAGAAUUAUCAAUUCCAUCCGAAAACUUCCUUAAUAAUCCCCGUUCGACUUGCAUGUGUUAGGCACGCCGCCACGCGUUCGUCCUCGUAGCCACUAAUACAACUACUGA